UACGUAGGGUGCAAGCGUUGUCCGGAAUUAUUGGGCGUAAAGAGCUCGUAGGCGGUUUGUCGCGUCUGCUGUGAAAACUCAGGGCUUAACCCUGAGCUUGCAGUGGGUACGGGCAGACUAGAGUGCGGUAGGGGAGACUGGAAUUCCUGGUGUAGCGGUGAAAUGCGUAGAUAUCAGGAGGAACACCGAUGGCGAAGGCAGGUCUCUGGGCUGACACUGACGCUCAUGCACGAAAGCGUGGGGAGCAAACAGG
rnacentral:rRNA from 1 species